CCUGCGGAGGAUCAUUACUGAAUGAACCCUGGUGAAGGUUGUAGCUGGCUCUAGUAAGAGCAUAUAUGUGCACACCUUUGCUAUUGCUUCUUUCAUUUUUCCACCUGUGCACCUUUUGUAGACCUUAGGUUAGAGGAAGUUACUUUUAUAAGUUAUGCCUCCUUGUUUCAGUCUUUUAAGGUCUAUGUAUUUACAUAUACACUAUUUGAAUGUUUAUAGAAUGAUCAUUAGUUUUGGGCUCAUGUAGCCUUUAAAAACAAUAAUACAACUUUCAACAACGGAUCUCUUGGCUCUCGCAUCGAUGAAGAACGCAGCGAAAUGCGAUAAGUAAUGUGAAUUGCAGAAUUCAGUGAAUCAUCGAAUCUUUGAACGCACCUUGCGCUCCUUGGUAUUCCGAGGAGCAUGCCUGUUUGAGUGUCAGUAAAUUCUCAAAUGCCUCAUCAGUGUUUUGAGGCUUUUGGAAUUGGGAGUUGCAGGUCACUAAGUGGUCAGCUCUCCUCAAAUACAUUAGUGGGGGUUGUUGUUCUAAACCUUUUAGAAUUGUGAACCUUUGACUCUAUUGGUGUGAUAAUUAUCUACGCCAGGAGUUGCUUCACAAAGAACCUCUGCUUCUUUAACUGUCCUAGGACAAUUGUUGAUAAUCUUGACCUCAAAUCAGGUAGGACUACCCGCUGAACUUAAGCAUAUCAAUAAGCGGAGGAAAAGAAACUAACAAGGAUUCCCCUAGUAACUGCGAGUGAAGCGGGAAAAGCUCAAAUUU
rnacentral:rRNA from 1 species